UCAGAGAGGCCAGUCUGCUUCCUGGAUCUGGCCAAUGAGCUGUGCCUAACAAUCAACUAAUCAGAGCGCCUUCCCUGGGGUUUGCAGCCUCAUUUGCAUAAGCAGAUUGGAUCGAGAACUUAGGCAACAGUUUUAGCCCUUAUUAUAUGCUUGAAUUUUGUACCAAAGUCUGAAUUUCCCUGGCUUGAAACUGCUUAGUUUUGAAACAAAGGCUCCCUUUUCAUCUUGAGUUCUUUCCUGGGGAGUUUCUGUUGACAAUAGGAAUGAAUGAACAUUAAACACAAGGAAAAAUGCUUGCUGUAAUUAAUCUUCAGAAAAAAUACAAAUCAAAACUGUAAUGAUCCGACACUAGACAGCCACUCCCAUGGCUAGAGUCAAAAGACGUAGUAACAGGGGGUCAGUGAGGGUGCGGGGACAUCAGAAGAACUAGUUGGUUUUGCACAACCAUGACCAAAAUGCCUGAGAGAAUAACUCAUAGGAGGAAAGAUUGACUCAGCUCACCAUUCCAAGGAUUUCAGCCCUUGGCUUUGCUGUUGCAUAGCAAGGUGAAGCAGCAUCAUGGUGGGAAUGGGGUGUGUGGUGUGGAACUUUAUUUUAAAACAAUGUGUGUGUGUGUGUGUGUGUGUGUGUGUGUGUGUGUGUGUGCUUACCUGUGUGGAGGUCAGAGGUCAACUUGCAAGAGAUGGUUUUCUCUGUUCACCACAUAGGUCCUGGGCAUUGACUGUGGAUCAUCAGGCUUGCUGACAAGUGCUUUUACCCACUGAAUGUCUUGUUCACCCUGGAGGAACUUCAUCCCAUGGGCUGAAGCGGAGAGCAAGACAGACAGAAGCUGUUACGGGCUGUCCUCAGAACCACACCCCCAGGAGCUUUCUCCUGCAAGAUCCCACUUCCACAAGCUACUGACACAUCUCUACCAGCUAGGGAUCAUGUGAUCAACAUUCCAGCCUGCGGAGGGGGUGUCAGGGGAUGGCCAGAGCGCAUAUGGUUACGAAGGAAUAAGAUCAGCACAGCUGAAGAGCAGAGCCAACACAGGGAAGGAAUGUUCUGGAGACUCAGACCCGUGGCUGAGUGAUUUUGAGUAAAAGAGAAAUGAUUUUGCGUGUUAAAAAGAACAGCAACAGCAAUGACCAAGGAACACAUCUUAUUCAAUUUUUGUUGAAAGGAGAUUUAGAAAUAGUUUAUCUGGUCUGGAAUUUCUCAACCUCUUAUCAAUAUUGACAUUUGGAUGGGAUAGUUUGUUGCCAUUGAGGUAAAAGAGUAAGCUAAAUAAAUUCUACCUGCCCCCAUUUCUUUCAGUACACUUCACAGAAAAAAGGAAAAAAAAAAAAAAAAACAGGAAGAGAAAAAUAAGAUGACAUCACCCAUGUCAUUCAACUGGUGACCUAACUGCAGCUUGUCAGGGAGUCAAGUCUCCUCCACCUCAGCUAGCUGCUCUUGUCUCACUCUUUAGAAACCAAACUUCCUACUUCUCCAUUUGAUAACAAGCAAAGAAGGCACUGAGAUGUGUUGGCGGACUUUUCUGCAAGGGUCUUAGCAUGGAUUCUUCUGAAAGGGUCCUCUCCCAUUUGGAGGAUGUUAUGCAGUGGAGGGGGAGGUUAAGGUGAAAGGCAAUAAAGACUAUGGAUCUAUAGGACCAGCCACUGUGGGACAGUGGCUCCCUCUUCUCUCUAGUGCAGCCGCUAAGCAUUCUUCUUCUCACUCGAUUCUACACCUUUAAGUAUGAAGGAAGAUGGCUCAGGGACGGUCCAGGAAGGAGUCGGGUACAGCGCAGGUGAAGCUGCACAUGUCAGAAAGCAUCUGAGAUGGACAGAGUCCCGAGCAAGCCUCGAGAUCAAAAGGGACCGACUGGGAAUUUGCUCCGGUAUUUGGUCAUGGGGCCUUCUACAUAAGGCUUCGCUGUGUAACUUAAAUAUCCUAGGAAGAUAAGAACUGAUAACUUAAAUGGAAACAGGGCAGCUUAAUAAAACACAGAAACAUAUACUCUGUCAGAGGGUACCAAAUGAUAACAACAUCUGAGGAGAGAAUAUAAGCUACUAAAUCUAUUGGGAAAUCCAAACAAGAUUUUAAAUCAAUCUCUGUUUUUCACCAUUUUGAAGUGUAAUUCUGACCUAACUGAUAUCAAAUAAACUUAUAAUGAUCAUGUUGAAGGGUA